UAGUCUGGUCUGCCCACUGAUUUAGGUUAAAGGGCCGCGGUAUUUUGACCGUGCGAAGGUAGCAUAAUCAUUAGUCUUUUAAUUGAGGGCUUGAAUGAAUGGUUGGACAAAAAAUAAGCUGUCUCAGUUGUAGGUAUUGAAUUUAACUUUUAAGUGAAAAGGCUUAAAUAAGUUAGAGGGACGAUAAGACCCUAUAAAGCUUUACAAUUAUUAAAUUGAGCUGUAAAUUGUUUGUUAUAACGUGGCUAAGUUAAUGUUUGUUUCGUUGGGGCGACGGGAAUAUAAUUAGUAACUGUUCUUAUAUAUAUAUAUAUAACAAUAAUUUUUGGAAAAAUGAUCCUCUAAUAGAGAUUAAAAGAUUAAGUUACUUUAGGGAUAACAGCGUAAUCUUCUUUGAAAGUUCAUAUCGACAAGAAGGGUUGCGACCUCGAUGUUGAAUUAAGGUUUCUUUGUGGUGCAGCGGUCAUAAUGAGAAGGUCUGUUCGACCUUUAAUUCCUUACAUGAUCUGAGUUUCAAACCCGGGAGGGGGACUAAAUCAUU
rnacentral:rRNA from 1 species